AGAAUCAACGCUGGCGGCGUGCCUAACACAUGCAAGUCGCACGAGAAAGGGGAGCAAUCCCUGAGUACAGUGGCGCACGGGUGAGUAACACGUGAAUGAUCUACCUCCGAGUGGGGAAUAACUGAGAGAAAUCUUGGCUAAUACCGCAUAAUACCCACGGGUCAAAGCAGCAAUGCGCUUGGAGAGGAGUUCGCGGCCGAUUAGCUAGUUGGCGGGGUAAUGGCCCACCAAGGCGAUGAUCGGUAU
rnacentral:rRNA from 1 species